rnacentral:rRNA from 2 species
UUGUUACGACUUAGCCCCAGUCAUCGGUUUUACCCUAGGCCGAUCCUUGCGGUUACGGACUUUAGGUACCCCCAACUCCCAUGGCUUGACGGGCGGUGUGUACAAGGCCCGGGAACGUAUUCACCGCGCCAUGGCUGAUGCGCGAUUACUAGCGAAUCCAGCUUCACGAAGUCGGGUUGCAGACUUCGAUCCGAACUGAGACAUGGUUUGGAGAUUAGCAUCCUGUCGCCAGGUAGCUGCCCUUUGUCCAUGCCAUUGUAACACGUGUGUCGCCCCGGAUGUAAGGGCCGUGCUGAUUUGACGUCAUCCCCACCUUCCUCACAGCUUACGCUGGCAGUCUCUUUAGAGUCCUCAGCUCGACCUGUUAGUAACUAAAGAUAAGGGUUGCGCUCGUUAUGGCACUUAAGCCGACACCUCACGGCACGAGCUGACGACAACCAUGCAGCACCUCGCAAAUUGCUAUUGCUAGAAAGAGUGUUUCCACUCCGGUCAAAAUGCGUUCAAACCCGGGUAAGGUUCCUCGCGUAUCAUCGAAUUAAACCACAUGUUCCUCCGCUUGUGCGGGCCCCCGUCAAUUCCUUUGAGUUUCACCGUUGCCGGCGUACUCCCCAGGUGGAUUACUUAACGCUUUCGCUGUGCCGCUUACUGUGUAUCGCAAACAGCUAGUAAUCAUCGUUUACUGCGUGGACUACCAGGGUAUCUAAUCCUGUUUGAUCCCCACGCUUUCGUGCUUCAGUGUCAGUUAUGGUUUAGUAAGCUGCCUUCGCAAUUGGAGUUCUGCGUGAUAUCUAUGCAUUUCACCGCUACACCACGCAUUCCGCCUACCUCAAACAUACUCAAGUCUUCCAGUUUCAACGGCAAUUUUAUGGUUGAGCCACAAACUUUCACCGCUGACUUAAAAAACCACCUACGCACCCUUUAAACCCAAUAAAUCCGGAUAACGCUCGGAUCCUCCGUAUUACCGCGGCUGCUGGCACGGAGUUAGCCGAUCCUUAUUCAUAGGGUACAUACAAAACGGGACACGUCCUGCACUUUAUUCCCCUAUAAAAGAAGUUUACGAACCAUAGAUCCUUCAUCCUUCACGCGACUUGGCUGGUUCAGGCUCUCGCCCAUUGACCAAUAUUCCUCACUGCUGCCUCCCGUAGGAGUCUGGUCCGUGUCUCAGUACCAGUGUGGGGGACCUUCCUCUCAGAACCCCUAUCCAUCGUAGACUUGGUGAGCCGUUACCUCACCAACUAUCUAAUGGAACGCAUGCCCAUCUAUCAGCGAUAAAUCUUUAACAAAUAUCCCCAUGCGGGACCCCUGUUUUAUGCGGUAUUAGUCCGACUUUCGCCGGGUUAUUCCCCUCUGAUAGGUAGGUUGCAUACGCGUUACUCACCCGUGCGCCGGUCGCCGACAGAGUAUUGCUACCCCUCGCUGCCCCUCGACUUGCAUGUGUUAAGCCUGUCGCUAGCGUUCAUCCUGAGCCAGGAUCAAACUCUAUUGAUCCUGGCUCAGGACGAACGCUGGCGGCGUGCCUAAUACAUGCAAGUCGAGCGGACUUUAAAAGCUUGCUUUUAAAGUUAGCGGCGGACGGGUGAGUAACACGUGGGCAACCUGCCUGUAAGACUGGGAUAACUUCGGGAAACCGGAGCUAAUACCGGAUAAUYCUUUYCMYCSCAUGRKGRAAAGCUGAAAGACGGCAUCUCGCUGUCACUUACAGAUGGGCCCGCGGCGCAUUAGCUAGUUGGUGAGGUAACGGCUCACCAAGGCAACGAUGCGUAGCCGACCUGAGAGGGUGAUCGGCCACACUGGGACUGAGACACGGCCCAGACUCCUACGGGAGGCAGCAGUAGGGAAUCUUCCGCAAUGGACGAAAGUCUGACGGAGCAACGCCGCGUGAGUGAUGAAGGUUUUCGGAUCGUAAAGCUCUGUUGUUAGGGAAGAACAAGUACAAGAGUAACUGCUUGUACCUUGACGGUACCUAACCAGAAAGCCACGGCUAACUACGUGCCAGCAGCCGCGGUAAUACGUAGGUGGCAAGCGUUGUCCGGAAUUAUUGGGCGUAAAGCGCGCGCAGGCGGUCCUUUAAGUCUGAUGUGAAAGCCCACGGCUCAACCGUGGAGGGUCAUUGGAAACUGGGGGACUUGAGUGCAGAAGAGAAGAGUGGAAUUCCACGUGUAGCGGUGAAAUGCGUAGAGAUGUGGAGGAACACCAGUGGCGAAGGCGACUCUUUGGUCUGUAACUGACGCUGAGGCGCGAAAGCGUGGGGAGCAAACAGGAUUAGAUACCCUGGUAGUCCACGCCGUAAACGAUGAGUGCUAAGUGUUAGAGGGUUUCCGCCCUUUAGUGCUGCAGCAAACGCAUUAAGCACUCCGCCUGGGGAGUACGGCCGCAAGGCUGAAACUCAAAGGAAUUGACGGGGGCCCGCACAAGCGGUGGAGCAUGUGGUUUAAUUCGAAGCAACGCGAAGAACCUUACCAGGUCUUGACAUCCUCUGACACUCCUAGAGAUAGGACGUUCCCCUUCGGGGGACAGAGUGACAGGUGGUGCAUGGUUGUCGUCAGCUCGUGUCGUGAGAUGUUGGGUUAAGUCCCGCAACGAGCGCAACCCUUGAUCUUAGUUGCCAGCAUUAAGUUGGGCACUCUAAGGUGACUGCCGGUGACAAACCGGAGGAAGGUGGGGAUGACGUCAAAUCAUCAUGCCCCUUAUGACCUGGGCUACACACGUGCUACAAUGGAUGGUACAAAGGGCAGCAAAACCGCGAGGUCGAGCAAAUCCCAUAAAACCAUUCUCAGUUCGGAUUGUAGGCUGCAACUCGCCUACAUGAAGCUGGAAUCGCUAGUAAUCGCGGAUCAGCAUGCCGCGGUGAAUACGUUCCCGGGCCUUGUACACACCGCCCGUCACACCACGAGAGUUUGUAACACCCGAAGUCGGUGGGGUAACCUUUU